AUUGAACGCUGGCGGCAGGCCUAACACAUGCAAGUCGAGCGGAGCGGCGGACGGGUGAGUAAUGCCUAGGAAUCUGCCUGGUAGUGGGGGACAACGUCCGGAAACGGGCGCUAAUACCGCAUACUAUCAGAUGAGCCUAGGUCGGAUUCGCUAGUUGGUGGGGUAAAGGCCUACCAAGGCUACGAUCAGUAACUGGUCUGAGAGGAUGAUCAGUCACACGGGAACUGAGACACGGUCCAGCCUCCUACGGGAGGCAGCAGUGGGGAAUAUUGGACAAUGGGCGAAAGCCUGAUCCAGCCAUGCCGCGGGUGUGAAGAAGGUUUUCGGAUUGUAAAGCACUUUAGGUUGGGAGGCGUUACCAACAGAAUAAGCACCGGCUAACUUCGUGCCAGCAGCCGCGGUAAUAC
rnacentral:rRNA from 1 species